UACGAAGGGGCUAGCGUUGCUCGGAAUCACUGGGCGUAAAGCGCACGUAGGCGGCUUUCUAAGUCAGGGUGAAAUCCUGGAGCUCAACUCCAGAACUGCCUUUGAUACUGGGAAGCUCGAGUCCGGAAGAGGUGAGUGGAACUCCGAGUGUAGAGGUGAAAUUCGUAGAUAUUCGGAAGAACACCAGUGGCGAAGGCGGCUCACUGGUCCGGUACUGACGCUGAGGUGCGAAAGCGUGGGAGCAACAGG
rnacentral:rRNA from 1 species